rnacentral:rRNA from 1 species
UCCAGACUCCUACGGGAGGCAGCAGUGGGGAAUAUUGCACAAUGGGGGAAACCCUGAUGCAGCGACGCCGCGUGAGCGAAGAAGUAUUUCGGUAUGUAAAGCUCUAUCAGCAGGGAAGAAAAAAAUGACGGUACCUGAGUAAGAAGCACCGGCUAAAUACGUGCCAGCAGCCGCGGUAAUACGUAUGGUGCAAGCGUUAUCCGGAUUUACUGGGUGUAAAGGGAGCGUAGGCGGCGCGUUAAGUCUGAUGUGAAAACCCGAGGCUCAACCACGGGAGUGCAUUGGAAACUGGCGGGCUGGAGUGCCGGAGAGGUAAGCGGAAUUCCUAGUGUAGCGGUGAAAUGCGUAGAUAUUAGGAGGAACACCAGUGGCGAAGGCGGCUUACUGGACGGCAACUGACGCUGAGGCUCGAAAGCGUGGGGAGCAAACAGGAUUAGAUACCCGGGUAC